UUAUAAUAUUGUGAAGCGCUACUGAAUCUGUUGGCGCUAUAUAAAUGACAAUAAUAAUAUUAUAUCCAUACACACUAUCCAACGCACAUGCAGACACAACCACACACAGCUACACAAUCCUUUACACAUACAGGUAUCUCCAUUCCCCAGGUAUCUCUCACAUCCCAGUGUAUCCUUAUGCCCCCAGGUAUCUAGCCUGGCAGGUAUCCU